ACUCGUUGUGAUAUUCUGUGUCUCCGUGGAGGCUUUUGGUGGUCUUUUCUAGUGAAGAGGUAUCAGCCUGUACGAACCUCAGCAGCAAAUCAAGGUUCCGCUUUGUUUCUUGUAAAACACCAAUAUCCGCUUUUAUUCUGAAAUGUUUCUACACAUUUUCCUCUCAUGUGCGAGUAAGAGUCGCUCACUUGAUGUCGAGACGGAUGACGAGGCAGUGAAACAUCACGGAAGCAGCAGAAUGAGGACAAACACACCAGGAGGUUGAAAAUACACAAACCGACAGAAAGAUGAGCAAAAUGAAGACAACGCAAACGAGACACGUGAUGCUCCUUGAGCAGGUUUUCAUCCCAGCAUUUGAACGCGGGUUCCGCAGCACCGUCAGCGUGGGCCUGUCUGUGGCAGCAGGUCCUGGCUCCUCUCAGCCAUCUGCUCCUCUUUGUGUUGAGGUAAUUCAAUCAGUGGCUGUGACUGUCGUCUGUUCACUCAACCUUCUGGACUUGCGUUUCUUGUAACUCAAUCGCUCCCUGCUGCCUCUCAAUGUUACCUGCAACAUCCGGAGCAGAACGAGGGCCUCGCCUCAGCACCGCUGACCUUUGACCUCUGACCCCUGUCACUUAGCGAGCUCCCUCAUUAGUGGCUGCAGGACCCACAUCAAAGUGCCGUUUCCCUGCUGCUGUGAAAGACCAUGUCUCACACCUCAGCUCCUCUGAGCUGCUCUGACUGAGUCUUAGAGAAGACUGACAUCAUAAACCACAGCGAUGAAGCGGGUUCAGCAGAGCCUGGUAGUGAUGAAGCCAGAGCCUGCUGUGACUGAAGCAGGAAACAGUGGGUAGCGCUGAGAACCUGCUCAGACACAUGCUGCACGCGGCGCCGUGGAACGAAAGAAUGCAUCAAAACGGUUCAGACUUGACUCUGACAGGAAACCACCACGUCUGAGCAGCUCCACCCGUCGAAGACGCGCUGGGAAGGAAACGCGGAGCCUCCCUUCACUAAACAGAAGAGCUGCAGAUGAUUUUAUCAGUGGACGUCAGAUUAUUAUUUUUUAUUUAUACAGUUGCUUUAGAAAAUACUCUGGUUCAUUUAAUGUGUGCUGCUUAGAGAUUGUUAAAAUAAAAAAGACAUUUUAUA